AACGAACGCUGGCGGCAGGCUUAACACAUGCAAGUCGAACGGGUGUAGCAAUACAUCAGUGGCAGACGGGUGAGUAACACGUGGGAACCUUCCUAGGGGUACGGAACAACUCAGGGAAACUUGAGCUAAUACCGUAUACGUCCGUGAGGAGAAAGAUUUAUCGCCCUUAGACGGGCCCGCGUCGGAUUAGCUAGUUGGUGGGGUAACGGCCUACCCAGGCGACGAUCCGUAGCUGAUCUUAGAGGAUGAUCAGCCACACUGGGACUGAGACACGGCCCAGACUCCUACGGGAGGCAGCAGUGGGGAAUCUUGGACAAUGGGCGCAAGCCUGAUCCAGCCAUGCCGCGUGAGUGAUGAAGGCCUUAGGGUUGUAAAGCUCUUUUAACGGGGAAGAUAAUGACGGUACCCGUAGAAUAAGCCCCGGCUAACUUCGUGCCAGCCGCCGCGGUAA
rnacentral:rRNA from 1 species